GCCCGGCUGGCACAAUUGGUUAGCGCGUGAGACUCUUAAUCUCAAGGUUGAGGGUUCGAGUCCCUCGUCGGGCU